GACGGGAGCUGGUUCGGGCUCCCUCCGAGAAGCCUCUGAUCCUCGCCCAGCGCUCCGCCCAGGGUGACUGUCACGUUCACAGCAGCCACACCACCCUGCUCCCCGGAGCCCCGAAGCCACUUGAGAGGUGACACUCAGGCCACAAAAUGUCCAGAGCAAGGCUUCAGAAAGAGCGUCUGUCUGUGUCUGUCUGUCUGGGUCUCAGCUAGAAACCCACCCAUCACUGCUCUAAACAGUCUCCUGUGCUCACCUGGCGGCCUCACCACCACUCCUGGGACCUGAGUAGUAGACUGGAGGGAGUCACACUGCCGAGUCACAUGUGUGGUGUAAAAGUGAAUGGAAUAAAUGCUACGUCCGUCUUUGCACGGUUCUCCUGGAGACAGCUGAGAGUUCGCCUUCUUACUGGCAGCACCCUGGGGAGCAGGGAGGUGGAGACGUGCGGUGAGGUCCACACCGGCGGGGGAGAGACGGAAACGGAGCUGGUGGACUGGAGGUCUAGCGCUGAGCUGUGUCCUUGGCAGCCAGUGUGUUUCACACCUGUGCUGACCCCUGCACGCGCGUGUGUACACACACCCUACACGUCUCCCCGGAUUCUCUUUCCGGCCACUGCAGACAGGCUGUGCUGG